rnacentral:misc_RNA from 1 species
ACAACGAUAUCGAAUCCGGCCUGCAACAGCCACGUGUUUAUCAUUUAAUAAAACCAUUAUUGCCCGAUCAUUAUAUGAACAUGAAAAAUUCAGCUAUAUCAUCGGGUGGUAACAACACCAAUAUAUUCUGGAUCAGUAUGUGCGACUACGGGUGAACGCACACACAAAACCAUACCUGAAGUUUAUUUGACACGGCUUUUGGCAGCUAAGGGCACUAUACAAAAAUUUGUUGAUGAUUUUUUUGCUACUAUAUUAACAGUUAAUGAAGAAUUGCCUCCUGCAGUAAAAUGGUUAUUUGACUUACUAGAUGAAGCUGCACGAAGACACACGAUAUUUAUGACACUGAUAUAGUUCAUGCAUGGAAGUCAAACAGCUUGCCUUUAAGAUUUUGGGUUAAUUUUAUAAAAAAUCCUGAUUUUAUAUUUGAUGUAAAUAAAACAGUUACUGUCGAUGCCAGUUUGAGCGGAAUUGCCCAAGCGUUUAUGGAUGCUUGUUCAGUUACCGAACAUAGAUUGGGUAAAGAUUCACCAUCCAAUAAAUUAUUAUUUGCCAAGGAUAUUCCUCAAUACCGUAAAAUGGUUAAGCAAUUCUACAGAGAUGUUGCUAGACUGCCACAAAUUAGCGAUCAGGAAAUGAGUACUGCUAUGCAGCAAUUAUCCAUACAACAAAAUGACGAAUUCGAUACUGUAGCUGCUCUAAAAGAGCUUUAUAUAUACGUUACCAAAUAUAAUGAUCAGAUAAUAAAUGCCUUAGAAAAUGAUAUAAAUUGUAAAAAAAUGCAUCUGGGCUACAAAUUGGAAAAUGUUGCAUUCACUUUAGAAGGAGAAGAGACUUCUGCUUGCUGACACUCAUUUAGAUUGCAUGCAGUUUUCCAAAAAUAUAUUUAUAUUCAAAGUAAUGUUUUAAAUAUGUCUUUAGAGCCACGUCAAAAGAAAUUUUUUGCAAAGCUUUCUUAAAGAUGAGUAAAUUAUAAAAUAUUCUUGAAGUCCUAAGAUCAAUUUAUGCGUAUUAUCAGAUACUUUUUGUUUUACCGCUGAAAUUUAAUAAAUUAUACUACUACAAGGCUAUAUUCAAAUUUGGAUGCAUAUUAAUUUACCAACAGAAAACACAAAAAAAAACACAGCGCCAAAGAAACCAAAUCGUACAUCCACAUAAACAUCUUUUUUCCAAUACACAGUGUUGUUGUUGCUUAUUUGUACAUACAGUGUAUCAUUGUUGCAUUUUAUCAAGUUUUUCAAGUAUUUUUCAAUUACGAAAUCAAUUAGACAAUUACGAAAUCAAUU